rnacentral:rRNA from 1 species
AACGAACGCUGGCGGUAUGCUUAACACAUGCAAGUCGAGCGAUAACCAGGGGCUUGCUCCUGGGGACAGCGGCGCACGGGUGAGUAACGCGUGGGUAACGUACCCUUAAGUUGGGAAUAACUCGCCGAAAGGCGGGCUAAUGCCGAAUAAGCUCUUUUGAAGUUCGCUUUUUAAGAGGAAAGCAGCAAUGCGCUUUUGGAUCGGCCCGCGUUCCAUCAGCUAGUUGGUGGGGUAAUGGCCUACCAAGGCUACGACGGAUAACUGGUCUGAGAGGAUGAUCAGUCACACUGGAACUGAGACACGGUCCAGACUCCUACGGGAGGCAGCAGUGGGGAAUAUUGGUCAAUGGGCGAAAGCCUGAACCAGCAAUACCGCGUGAGUGAUGAAGGCCUCGGUUGUAAGCUCUGUCAAUGGAACGAAAAAAGUAGAACGGUACCCGAAUAAAGGAAGACAUCGGCUAACUACUGUGCCAGCAGCCGCGGUAA